UCUGAAUGAUGUCGACUGAUG
rnacentral:miRNA from 1 species